rnacentral:rRNA from 1 species
UACGUAGGUGGCAAGCGUUGUCCGGAUUUACUGGGCGUAAAGAGCGCGCAGGCGGUUGAUUAAGUCGAAUGUGAAAGCCCCAGGCUCAACUGGGGAGGGUCAUUCGAUACUGAUCGACUUGAAGGCAGGAGAGGGAAGUGGAAUUCCGGGUGUAGUGGUGAAAUGCGUAGAUAUCCGGAGGAACACCAGUGGCGAAGGCAGCCCCCUGGGUUAACACUGACGCUCAGGCACGAAAGCGUGGGGAGCAAACAGG